UCAACCUGGGAACGGCAUCCGGAACUGUCAGGCUAGAGUGCAGGAGAGGAAGGUAGAAUUCCCGGUGUAGCGGUGAAAUGCGUAGAGAUCGGGAGGAAUACCAGUGGCGAAGGCGGCCUUCUGGACUGACACUGACGCUGAGGUGCGAAAGCGUGGGUAGCAAACAGGAUUAGAUACCCUGGUAGUCCACGCCGUAAACGAUGUCGACUAGCCGUUGGGGUCCUCGAGACCUUUGUGGCGCAGUUAACGCGAUAAGUCGACCGCCUGGGGAGUACGGCCGCAAGGUUAAAACUCAAAUGAAUUGACGGGGGCCCGCACAAGCGGUGGAGCAUGUGGUUUAAUUCGAUGCAACGCGAAGAACCUUACCUACUCUUGACAUCGAGCGAACUUUCCAGAGAUGGAUUGGUGCCUUCGGGAACGCUCAGACAGGUGCUGCAUGGCCGUCGUCAGCUCGUGUUGUGAAAUGUUGGGUUAAGUCCCGUAACGAGCGCAACCCUUGUCCCUAUUUGCCAGCGAUUCGGUCGGGAACUCUAGGGAGACUGCCGGUGACAAACCGGAGGAAGGUGGGGACGACGUCAGGUCAUCAUGGCCCUUACGAGUAGGGCUACACACGUGCUACAAUGGCCGGUACAAUGGGCUGCAAUCCCGCGAGGGGGAGCUAAUCUCAUAAAGCCGGUCUCAGUCCGGAUCGGAGUCUGCAACUCGACUCCGUGAAGUCGGAAUCGCUAGUAAUCGUGCAUCAGAAUGGCACGGUGAAUACGUUCCCGGGCCUUGUACACACCGCCCGUCACACCAUGGGAGUGGACUGCACCAGAAGUGGUUAGCCUAACUUCGGAGGGCGAUCACCACG
rnacentral:rRNA from 1 species